rnacentral:rRNA from 1 species
UACGACUACAUAUCAGGCAUAUCAAUAAGCGGAGGAAAAGAAACUAACAGGGAUUCCCUUAGUAACGGCGAGUGAAGCGGGAAGAGCUCAAAUUUGAAAUCUUCAAGGUUUUACCUUGACGAAUUGUAGUUUAAAGAAGUGUUUUCUGUUGAAGUUUUGGUAAAAGUUCUUUGGAAUAGGACAUCAUAGAGGGUGAGAAUCCCGUAUUUGACCAUUAUUUUCAGCUGUGUGAUACACUUUCAAAGAGUCGGAUUGUUUGGGAAUGCAGUCCAAGAUGGGUGGUAAAUUUCAUCUAAAGCUAAAUAUUGGCGAGAGACCGAUAGCGAACAAGUACCGUGAGGGAAAGAUGAAAAGAACAUUGAAAAGAGAGUUAAACAGUACGUGAAAUUGUCAAAAGGGAAGCGUUUGACACCAGUGUUGUUUUCUCGAAAAUCAAUUAAAAAAAGUUGGAUUUUGUGUUGUAUUGACCUUAACAGCUUGCUUCACUCUUUUCCAGCUUUUUUUAAUGCACUUUUCGUUUAACAAGUCCAACAUCAGUUUCUUUUGUUGUAAAAGGGUCAUUGGAAGGUGGCUUUCUCUUCGGAGAAAGUGUUUAUAGCCUUUGAUCUCUGCAAUCGGAGAGACUGAGGUCUGCAGCGUAGAUCCUUCGGGGUUAGAUACAUUUGUGCUAAGCUACAGCUUUUCAUAGACAACUUGUUGACUAUGUUUAGUCUUGUAACUUACCCGCUUAUGCUAUUUUACCUACGCUUAGGAUGUUGAGCGCAUGUCUCUCUCU